rnacentral:rRNA from 1 species
GACGAACGCUGGCUGCGUGCUUAACACAUGCAAGUCGAACGCUGAAGCCCCAGCUUGCUGGGGUGGAUGAGUGGCGAACGGGUGAGUAACACGUGAGUAACCUGCCCCUGACUUCGGGAUAAGCCCGGGAAACUGGGUCUAAUACCGGAUACGACUAUCGGACGCAUGUCUGGUGGUGGAAAGUUUUUUCGGUUGGGGAUGGGCUCGCGGCCUAUCAGUUUGUUGGUGAGGUAAUGGCUCACCAAGACGACGACGGGUAGCCGGCCUGAGAGGGCGACCGGCCACACUGGGACUGAGACACGGCCCAGACUCCUACGGGAGGCAGCAGUGGGGAAUAUUGGACAAUGGGGGAAACCCUGAUGCAGCGACGCAGCGUGCGGGAUGACGGCCUUCGGGUUGUAAACCGCUUUCAGCAGGGAAGAAGCCUUCGGGUGACGGUACCUGCAGAAGAAGUACCGGCUAACUACGUG